CAUUGGACUUGGACAGCUUUGUUCCUUCUCUGGGACCAAGUCAACAAGCUGGGACCAGAGGAGCUGCGGCUGUAGCACGCAGGGACCGAACAAAAGAGCAAAUAUACAGAUAUCCCUGGAAGCCAGAGUUCUUGGAAGGAAGAAAUACACAUACAGAAUGGGAGAAGGCAAGGAAAAACCCUGUAAGGUUGGGAUGCAUUCAGAGAAAUAGAAACUUCUGAUUCCAUAUAGGUAUCUAUUUCCUAGGUCUGUCUAUGAAAGCUCUUAAAACAGUGCACUCACAUAGAAAUGAACACAUCUAGUACCCAGAUCUCAGUUUCUAAAUGCUAUUCCCACUAAACAAACCAGUACUCAUUGUGGAAAUAGCUACUAAUUCAAUUCAAUAACUGGGGCAGGGAAAGCACAAGAUAAGAUCAUCAUCUUGUUGUGCCAAAGAGUAAGAAAGUGUCUUAAAAACUUGGGAAGCAUAUAACAAUACACAGAAGCAUGCUUGAAGGGGCUCCCACUUUGAUAUCUGGGACGAUGUGAGUAAGGAAAUUAAUGAGAACUGUUGUAGAUUAUAAACAAUUAAACAUAAUAAAUUCCAUGAGUCCCUACUAAUAAAAAUUACAUAGACAGAUAAAUGAUGGAUGGAUGGAUGGAUGGACGAAUUGAUUGAUAGAGAGAUAUAAAGAGAACGAUAGGCAAGAAACAACCAAUGGAUCUUGGGUAGAGGAAGGUAGUUUUAUAAAAAAUACUUGCAAAAUCUAAAAGCAUAUCACUACAAAUUACUUAUAAAGAAAAAAGAAAAAAGUGGAGAAACUGAACACUUGCAACCAAGUGAUCUAAAUUAACAUUACCAAUGAAGGGCACACAGACAUAUUGUGCCUCUGGAUGUAUGCCCCAUGAAAAAUAAAAUAUCACCUGUGGAGUACACUAGCCAUAAAGGGAUAAUUUCCAUUUUAUCAUAAAAAAUAUAAAAAAUAUCCACAUUGAGAAACAAUAGUCAAAAUAUCUGAGCUUUGUUUUUCAAAAUUAUCAAUAAUAUAAAAAACAAAGAACAGCUGAAUAUGGUUCCUAAUUAAAGGAAAGUAAAGAAACAUGACACCUAAAUGCAAUUCAUGACUCUAGAUUGGAUUCUUAAACUGGGGCAGGAGAUAAUAGUCAUAAAGCAUACUAUGGGAAAACUGACAGUUCUGGAAUAUGAUCUGUAGGUCAAAUGUUAUAUGAAUGUUAAAUUGCUUCAAGACAUUGAUGAAAGAAGGGAAAUCCUUAAAUGAUGGGCCCAUUUAUUAUGCCUGCUCCUCCAUAUGUUUUAGAAUCAAGUUCAGUGAGAACAUAAAAUGUUCCUUUUUUUCUCCAUCAUCACUAUCAAGUCAGCCUGACAAAGGCCCAGUAUGGCCAACAUUUCACAUUCCCUGAUUACUACUUCUCAACUAAAUGAGGCUUAGCUUUACUGUCCAUGCAUAUACCAAGAAGGACAGAGAUGAUACCAUGCUGUAAGUCUACAGUUUUCCCGAACCCAGCUCUGCAGAGACUACUUUAAAGAGAUCUAGGUGCUGAUUUUAUUUGUGGGAACCAAAGCUCCAUUGAAGUGAACACACAAGCUAAUUAGCAGAUUUCGAACCUUAGAAACCUUCAUUAUAUUAUAAUCCUACAUCAUCUUUUGAAGCUCAAACAAAAUGUAACUCUGCUCAUUAAUCGUUGGCAGUAAGUGCAUCAUCUCUGCCUUUGAAUACCCUCAGGCUAAUGAUAUGCUGAAAGGUGUCAGGCAGAGGAUGACUCAUAAUGGUAGUUUUUGCUGGAGCUAUUACUCUGUAUGCACACACAUAUACCACUGUAAAUGACUUUUUCUGUACCUGUGUGCUUGCCUCUUUCAAUUGCAUGUGUGUGUGUCUGUGUGUGUACAGAUGCAUACUGAUGCUUAUAGGUGUAAGUUCAUGCCUCUGUGCAAGUGUGUGGACACCUCUGUGUCUGUGUGGAUAAAUACCUCUGCAUUGCUGUGCUACUUUGUGUGUGUGUGUGUGUGUAAAACUCAUACACUACUAAGUAUAAAAUGGAUGAACAAUGUAUUUAUAAGGAUCUCUUUAAUGGUAAGUGACAUUAAACUAAACUAAAAGUUGUUUAAGGAAAAAGGAAAUUUAUUGGCUUAUUUAACAGAAAUAUUUAGGGUUAGCUUUAAGUUCCCACAUGGAAAAGGAAAAAUUGGAACCACCCACACAUAGUGAUGGCUGGUCCCCUGCAUAUAUCAAUUCUGCUGAGCAGGAAUAACAGGAUUCUCUGCCCUGGUGACCAGAGUCUGCUUUGGGCACCUGGUCUGGGGACCUUCACUGAGCUGUUUCUAAGGCAUUCCUUUUUUUUUUUUUUUUUUCUUUUUCUUUGGCUUUUAGUUUCUUUGCUUCCAGGCAAUUCCUGGGGUAAGUAACAAAGCCAGAAGUUUCAUCAAGUCACCAUAUUUAAACCCAGAAACAAAUCUGAGAAUUUCUAUUUUCAAUCAACAGGCCUUCCUUCAUCCCCUCAACCCUCAGCUUUGUGGCCUCUAUCUUGGACUGUCAAAGGCCAGUUUAAACAAUGGUCACACAGAGAUUCACACUUCUCGCAAGCCCCAACUCAAUCUCCUGCCAUGUUUUUCAGUUUCCUCAUGUGAUGUAAAGGCUGCUCAACCCCUCACCUAAAAUCAGUAUAUUCAGACAAGAAGGAAGAAGACAGAGCAGAAAAGGAGGGGAAAAACAAGGAGAAGGAGGAUGAAGAAGAGGAUGUGAUGGUGGUGGUAAUAAGGAGAAAUAGGCAAUGCCUUUAACAGGAAAGGACCUGUCCCUAAACCCCAGUAGACAGCUAUUUACAUCUUCUUUAGAAGGCUGUAUCUUAUGGACAUAUUUGCUGCAAGAAAGGCUAGGAAAUGAUUUCUAAAGCUGGACAUAUUGUUACCUUAAGCUUGUAUGCGGCUCCCAUUAGUAAAAGAAAAAAGGACAAUGGAUGUUGGAUAUAUAACUAACAGUUGGGUACCAAUUGCUACAUGCACUUGAUGGAUGAUUUAGUGCAUUUGGUUGUGUAUAAAAUAAUAAUGCAGAGUAUUUUAUAAAACAGAACAUCUGGAAACAAAUUAGUUAUAUGUAUUUAAAAAUAAGAAAAAUUAAUAAACAAGGCAACUAUUGACUUCAGGGAAAACAAAGAACUGUAUAAAAACUCAAGCAAUCAUAAUUUAUUAUUUAUCUUAACAAUAAACCUUGCUUUUACAGUCAUAAUAAUAUAAACAUUGAAAUCUUUCUGACUUCAGAAGAUAAGAAAAAAUAUUUCAAACUUAGCCUUUAAAGUUCAAUUUAUUCAUCCUUGCUCAACUCCUGAGCCCCAGGUUACAAUGCAUCAAGAACCUCCCUGAGGAGACUAAUAAUAACUAAUAUCACAGACACCCUGGGUUCAAGUGGAUAUCACAUCAAUUAAGACAACUCUCCGUCUUAACUCUUUAAAAUAUCUCUAGCAAGUGGUUACUUAGCUUCUGCUUGAACACAUCCACUGACAAGGAGCUCACUGGUCUGGACAGUUUAUUCAAUUUCUAGACAGCUCAUUCAAUUUCUGGACAGCUCUAAACACUGCAAAUCAUUCCCUGUAAUCAGGUGAAGGGACCUACUCUAACUUUAAUUUAGUCUUUCUUUUUUACUCCCUUAAGUCCUACAGAACAUACAGUUCUUCUUUCACAGGAGGAAUAGAUAUCUGCUAUUUGAAUACUAUUGCCAAGCUAUGCACUCUCUGUCCUCUUUAUGUUAAAUUCUUUAGGCCCUUCAAACAUUUUAAAAUGAUAUGGUUUUAUAUUCCAGUGACAUUUUAGACAUGUUAUCUGGAAUACAUGUCAUCUAGUUAAUGUCCCUCUUAAAAUGUGGCACCAUAGCAGAACAUGGUUGCCAAGGAAAAAAUAUGAAAAACCAUGUUUCCAAAUUUCAUUUUCUAUUAGGAGAUACCUUGUAAUAUGAUUAAAUUUCCUUUUAAAUCUUUUUGGGAUCGUCUUGGAAGAAGAUAAGAUUGUUGGUCUUUAAAAAAAAAAACUUACGGAAAAGUAUGAAUUCCAUCUUCUAGAACUUUACGACAUGUUUCCAUUCACUAUCCACAAUACUAAAAAAGUGCCAAAGUCUAGGUAUGAAGUAAGAAAAAAUGGGGUCUGGGUGAGCCAUUCUCUCUUUUAGGAAUCAAAGAAGAAUUGUAAACUAAGAUAUUUUUCAACAAUCCUAAAUAUCAGAUUACUUUAGGAUAAAAUUAUUUUCCAAUACUCUGUCCUAGUCACAUGGAGAAGAUGUCCCAAUUUGCUGAAUUCAAACAGCCAGAAGCUGUUUCUGAUCUGCAGUCUUCUUCAGUGUUCUUUUUCUUCGUAUCUGCUUAUUCCUCUUUAUACUGAUUUAGAACACACUAAUGGAAGUAGCCUGACACGUGGCUUUCCAUUUUGCCACUCUUUCUCAAGAAAUGUGAUUAAAGAACUUGGAGUGGGCUGCUUUAUGCACAAAUAUUCAGACAGUCUCUUAGCAAUAAAUGGCUGUCGCUUCUAUUAUCUGUCUGGCUCUGAGUUCUAUUAUCUGUUGUGAAUUGGUGCAGGGCUCUGUAAAACAGUUUUUAGGCAGCCUCAUUACACCCUUCCACACCUUCUGCUCCAUCUGAGUGAUACUGCUGUGAUUGCUGGGUAAUGUUUGCCAUUAGACGAGGCACAAAAAAGAAUCAAGCUAUGACUAAUUCACUCGAUGGCUGUGUGCCCUGUGUCAUGCUCAUUAACACCUCUCAACUCUGUUAUUAAAGAGAAUCACACAGCAGACCUCAGCGGGCUCACAUUUAUACUAUAGGCUGCCUUAUUUUUCCAUUGGAACCCCAUUUUUAUCACAGACUAGUCCUGAGCACCCUUACCUUCUACCCCAGGCCUAUUCCAUCCUGUUACACUCAUAAAUGCUUAGGAGAAUCUACUGAUAAGAAAGGCCUUUAGAUUGUCUGAAAAUGAGGGUUUUGCCCACUGAAGAAUCAGCCAAUUUGAUUUCAGCUGAAAAGUCAUCCUGAGAUGCUCCUAAUGAAAGCUCAAUGAAAGAAAUAACAAUAACAACACCUUAAACUAUUUGUUGAAUUUAUUAAAGUAUAUCCAGCCCUUUUAUAACCAUUAUUUCCCUUGAGGUUCACAGCAACCCUGUAUGGUAAGCUGCAUAAACAGUACCCUACUAUUAGCUUCAACACUAGAUUUCUAACUCAGAGGCGACAUUAUAUAAAAGACUAAUAGCUCAUCUACAAUGCUGAGCAAAAUGUAAAGGAAUAGCAUCAUUUUUGUUAGGCUUUCUCAAGCAUAGUAAUCAAAGUAAUAGAAAAAGCAGAAAGAGAGAGCGAACAUUUUUCUUAGUACUGACUCAUGUGUUCUAAGAUGAUAGGGGCAUCAUACUUACCUUCCUUAGUCAUUUAACUCCAACUGAAUAGUCAGUCAGUCAGAAGUCCAUAGGACUUUGGGGUCCAUAGGGUAAGUAUUGCAAUUGUUCACCAAUAUCUAGAUAUGCUCUACUUCUGAGUACAUGAAGGAUUCCACUAAUCCACCUCUCGAAGUUGGACAUGGCCAUUUGACUUGAUUUGACCAUGAAAUGUGAGUGGAAGCAUUUAAUUGCAGAUACAGGAUUCUCUAGUUUGGCUCUUCCCGUACCAUAAGAAUUGUAAAAGCUUGUAUCUAUAUGGGGAGACCAAAAUAUUUAAGCAAUUAAAAUACUGAGUCAGCACAUGGGACACAGUUGUCCUGUAGAAACACCUAGAUCUUCAGUAGAAACCGAAUGAGCAGUAAAUAAGACUGUGUCACCAAAAAAAAAAAAAAAAAAAAAAAAAAAA
rnacentral:lncRNA from 1 species